UACGAAGGGGGCUAGCGUUGUUCGGAUUUACUGGGCGUAAAGCGCACGUAGGCGGAUCGAUCAGUCAGGGGUGAAAUCCCAGAGCUCAACUCUGGAAUUGCCUUUGAGACUGAGUGGCUUGAGUACGAGAGAGGUGAGUGGAAUUCCCAGUGUAGAGGUGAAAUUCGUAGAUAUUGGGAAGAACACCGGUGGCGAAGGCGGCUCACUGGCUCGUAACUGACGCUCAUGCACGACAGCGUGGGGAUCAAACAGG
rnacentral:rRNA from 1 species